CACUGAUCUUCCUCAGGUGGGUAGGUUUGUGAGCUAGAGGAGGCUUGGGUCCUGAAUCCACUCUCCUAUCACCUUUGGGCAGCCUGGAUAAAGAGGAAAGAAGUCUUGGCUGCUGGGCAGAGCCGGGUUUCUCUCCCAUUCCCGAGGAGGCCUGAGCAGCUGGACACGCAGAGAGCGGAAGAUGGGCAGUGAUGACACCAAAUAUAAGCAUAAAAAGACGUUUUAAAACUACAGAUCCUGAAACCCAGCACGGCAGGCACCUGCAGCUUCCAGUGCUGUAACAG
rnacentral:lncRNA from 1 species